rnacentral:misc_RNA from 1 species
GAUGAAGAACGCAUCGAAAUGCGAUAAGUAAUGUGAAUUGCAGAAUUCAGUGAAUCAUCGAAUCUUUGAACGCACAUUGCGCCCCUUGGUAUUCCGAGGGGCAUGCCUGUUCGAGCGUCAUUAUAACCCCUCAAGCUCAGCUUGGUAUUGGGGCCUGCCAUCCUGGCAGCCCUUAAAAUCAGUGGCGGUGCCAUCCGGCUCUAAGCGUAGUAACUCCUCUCGCUAUGGAGUCCUGGUGGAUGCUUGCCAUUAAUCUUUUAACUUCUAUGGUUGACCUCGGAUCAGGUAGGGAUACCCGCUGAACUUAAGCAUAUCAAUAAGCGGAGGA